AAAGCGUGCGCAGGCGGUUAUGUAAGACAGAUGUGAAAUCCCCGGGCCUCAACCUGGGAACUGCAUUUGUGACUGCAUGGCUAGAGUACGGUAGAGGGGGAUGGAAUUCCGCGUGUAGCAGUGAAAUGCGUAGAUAUGCGGAGGAACACCGAUGGCGAAGGCAAUCCCCUGGACCUGUACUGACGCUCAUGCACGAAAGCGUGGGGAGCAAACAGGAUUAGAUACCCUGU
rnacentral:rRNA from 1 species